rnacentral:rRNA from 1 species
GUGUAUGAGAGUUUGAUCCUGGCUCAGGAUGAACGCUGGCGGCAUGCCUAAUACAUGCAAGUCGUACGCAAUCACUUUAUUCGCUCGCAGCCGUGGAAUUUCCACAUUUGCGAGCGGAAUACAUGAGUGAUUGAGUGGCGGACGGGUGAGUAACACGUUGGUACCUGCCCCAAAGUGGGGAAUAACUGCCCGAAAGGGUAGCUAAUACCCCAUAGUCUUAUGCUUGUCAUAAGUAAAGCUUUUGCGCUUUGGGAGGGGCCUGCGUCUGAUUAGCUAGUUGGUUGAGGUAAUGGCUCACCAAGGCGACGAUCAGUAGCUGGAUCGAGAGGUUGACCAGCCACACUGGGACUGAGAUACGGCCCAGACUCCUACGGGAGGCAGCAGUAAGGAAUCUUCCACAAUGGGCGAAAGCCUGAUGGAGCAAUGCCGCGUGCAGGAAGACGCUUUUCGGAGUGUAAACUGCUUUUCUGAAGGAAGAUUAUGACGGUACUUCAGGAAUAAGGAUCGGCUAACUACGUGCCAGCAGCCGCGGUAAUACGUAGGAUCCAAGCGUUAUCCGGAAUUACUGGGCGUAAAGCGUGCGCAGACGGUUUGAUAGGUCAGUUGCGAAAUCCCGUGGCUCAACCAUGUGGACUGUAAUUGAAACCAUCUGACUAGAGGUAGGUAGAGGCAAGUGGAAUUUCUGGUGUAGGGGUGACAUCCGUAGAUAUCAGAAGGAACACCAAUGGCGAAGGCAGCUUGCUGGGCCUUACCUGACGUUCAGGCACGAAAGCGUGGGGAGCAAACAGGAUUAGAUACCCUGGUAGUCCACGCCGUAAACGAUGAUCACUAGUGAUAUGGGGCUUCGACCCCCUGUGUCACAAAGCUAACGCGUUAAGUGAUCCGCCUGGGGAGUACGAACGCAAGUUUAAAACUCAAAGGAAUUGACGGGGACCCGCACAAGCGGUGGAGGAUGUGGUUUAAUCCGAAGCUACGCGCAGAACCUUACCGAGGCUUGACAUCCCAGGAAGACCGUCGAAAGACAGUUGUGCCUUUUGGAACCUGGUGACAGAUGCUGCAUGGCCGUCGUCAGCUCGUGUCGUGAGAUGUUGGGUUAAGUCCCGCAACGAGCGCAACCCUUGUCGUAUGUUGUCUUUUCAUACGAGACUGCCCGGGCCAACCGGGAGGAAGGUGGGGAUGACGUCUGGUCGGCAUGGCUCUUACGCCUCGGGCUACACACGUCCUACAAUGGGUAGUACAAUGGGCAGCCAAACCGCAAGGUGGAGCAAAUCCCACCAAAACUACCCCCAGUUCGGAUAGAGGGCUGAAACUCGCCCUCUUGAAGUCGGAAUCGCUAGUAAUGGCGCGUCAGCAUAGCGCCGUGAAUACGUUCCCGGGUCUUGUACACACCGCCCGUCAAAUCACGAAAGUUGGGAGUGCCCGACGUAUUGUCUUUUAGACAGUCCUAAGGUAAGCCCAGCGAUUGGGGUUAAGUCGUAACAAGGUAUCCGUACCGGAAGGUGCGGAUGGAUCACCUCCUUU